GAUUGGAUCCUGAUUAUCCAAUCACAAUCAUGUCAUGACUUUGAGCAUGCUCUGAGAGAGUCACAGACAUCGGCCAAGACAAGCAUGGCGGAGCAACUGCAGAGAGGGAGAAGCUCUGGGUUUUCCUGGUGAUGACUGCUGUUCCCUACCCAUGCUGUGACAUACUGAUCAAGUUAAUGUGCAUGUUCAGAACUGUACACAGACUCAAACACAUGCAAACAUCCAGUUCCAGAUGUUUAGGUCGUACCUGAUUGAUUA